rnacentral:rRNA from 1 species
UACGAAGGGGCUAGCGUUGUUCGGAAUUACUGGGCGUAAAGCGCGCGCAGGCGGUUCUUUUAAGUCAGGGGUGAAAGCCCAGAGCUCAACUCUGGAAUUGCCUUUGAAACUAGAGAACUUGAGUACGGGAGAGGUGAGUGGAAUUCCGAGUGUAGAGGUGAAAUUCGUAGAUAUUCGGAAGAACACCAGUGGCGAAGGCGGCUCACUGGCCCGUUACUGACGCUCAGGCGCGACAGCGUGGGGAGCAAACAGG